rnacentral:rRNA from 1 species
AUUGAACGCUGGCGGCAGGCCUAACACAUGCAAGUCGAACGAGUGGCGGACGGGUGAGUAAUGUCUGGGAAACUGCCUGAUGGAGGGGGAUAACUACUGGAAACGGUAGCUAAUACCGCAUAUUAUUCGAGCGGCCGAUAACUGAUUAGCUAGUUGGUGGGGUAAAGGCCUACCAAGGCGACGAUCAGUAGCGGGUUUGAGAGGACGAUACGCCACAUUGGAACUGAGACACGGUCCAGACUCCUACGGGAGGCAGCAGUGGGGAAUAUUGCACAAUGGGCGCAAGCCUGAUGCAGCCAUGCCGCGUGUAUGAAGAAGGCCUUCGGGUGGUAAAGUACUUUCAGCGGGGAGGCGUUACCCGCAGAAGAAGCACCGGCUAACUCCGUGCCAGCAGCCGCGGUAAUUC